rnacentral:rRNA from 1 species
CCUACGGGGGGCAGCAGUGAGGAAUAUUGGUCAAUGGCCGGGAGACUGAACCAGCCAAGCCGCGUGAGGGAGGAAGGUACAGAGUAUUGUAAACCUCUUUUGUCAGGGAACAAAGACUGGGACGCGUCCCCGGUUGCGUGUACCUGAAGAAAAAGCAUCGGCUAACUCCGUGCCAGCAGCCGCGGUAAUACGGAGGAUGCGAGCGUUAUCCGGAUUUAUUGGGUUUAAAGGGUGCGCAGGCGGUCUGUUAAGUCAGCGGUCAAAUUCCGGGGCUCAACCCCGGCCCGCCGUUGAAACUGGCAGUC